UAUAUAGUCUGGCUACUAUACUUUUAUGAGUAUUGGCUCCCUUAUACUCAUAAAUUUUCUGCCCUUAAAUUUAUUCCAUUAAUCAUUUCCACCCGUUAGAUCAUUCUAUUCAACCAACUACCCACUCAACCUUAGGAGACCACUAUCAUUCUAAGUGGGAACCAACAUCAUCCUAACCACACAUCCCAUCAAUCAACGGUUAAAAAUUUAUGAGUUCAAGGGGAUCUAUACUCAUAAGAGUAUAGUAGCCCCAGCCAUAUAUAUAUAGAAAAAGUCUACUAUAUUAUUAAUAGUACCAACCACUUACUAUUAGGUCUUUGGCCCUUGGAUGAAGGGAUGUGCGGUUAGGAUGAUAGUGAUUCCCUAGAGUUAAGUGGAUAGUUAGUUGAAUAGUAUGAUCUAUUGAGUGAAACUGGUCAAACGGAUAGAUCUAACGGUACAAAAUUUGACAGCGCUAAGCAUUUGGUAUUAUCGAUAAUAUAGUAGCCGGACUCUUUCUCUAUAUAUAUAGUCCGACUAUUAUACUAUCUAUAGUACUAAUUGUUUUGUGCUAUCGAGUUUUCUGCCUUAGAUCUACCUAUAAAUAUAGAAUCGGACUACUAUACUAUCGAUAAUACCAAGCAUUUAGUGCUAUCGAGUUUUCUGUUAUUAGAUCAACCCCUUUGGCCAUUUUCAUCCGUUAGAUCAUACUAUUUAAUUACCCACCUCCUCAACCCUAGGGGGCUACUAUCAUCCUGACCACACAUCCCUUCAUCUAAGGGCCGAAAACCUAAUAGCAAGUAGUUGAUACUAUUA
rnacentral:lncRNA from 1 species